CCUUACCUGGGCUCAAAUGUAUGUUGACGUAUUCUGAAAGGGAUACUUCUUCGGACAAUAUCAAGGUGCUGCAUGGUUGUCGUCAGCUCGUGCCGUGAGGUGUCGGGUUAAGUCCCAUAACGAGCGCAACCCCUAUCAUUAGUUGCCAUCAGGUCAAGCUGGGGACUCUAAUGAAACUGCCUACGCAAGUAGUGAGGAAGGUGGGGAUGACGUCAAAUCAGCACGGCCCUUACGUCCAGGGCUACACACGUGCUACAAUGGCCGGUACAAAGGGCAGCUACCUGGUGACAGGAUGCUAAUCUCAAAAGCCGGUCUCAGUUCGGAUCGGAGUCUGCAACCCGACUCCGUGAAGUCGGAAUCGCUAGUAAUCGUGAAUCAGAAUGUCACGGUGAAUACGUUCCCGGGCCUU
rnacentral:rRNA from 1 species